UACGUGCCAGCAGCCGCGGUAAGACGUAGGACGCGAGCGUUAUCCGGAUUUACUGGGCGUAAAGCGCCUGCAGGCGGUCAGGUAAGUCGGUUGUGAAAGCCCCGUGCUCAACGCGGGGAGGCCAAGCGAUACUGCGUGACUUGAGGGCGGAAGAGGGGAGUGGAAUUCCCGGUGUAGCGGUAAAAUGCGCAGAUAUCGGGAGGAACACCAGUGGCGAAGGCGGCUCCCUGGACCGCACCUGACGCUCAGAGGCGAAAGCUAGGGGAGCGAACAGGAUUAGAGACCCUGGUAGUCCUAGCCCUAAACGCUGGAUGCUAGGUGUAGGGCUGAUGAGGCUCUGUGCCGGAGCGAACGCGAUAAGCAUCCCGCCUGGGAACUACGGCCGCAAGGCUAAAACUCAAACGAAUUGACGGGGACCCGCACAAGCAGCGGAGCGUGUGGUUUAAUUCGAUGCUACACGAAGAACCUUACCUGGGUUUGACAUGCUGGUGGUACCGAACCGAAAGGGGAGGGACCCUUCGGGGAGCCAACACAGGUGCUGCAUGGCUGUCGUCAGCUCGUGCCGUGAGGUGUCGGGUUAAGUCCCGUAACGAGCGCAACCCUUGCUCUUAGUUAUACGUGUCUAAGGGGACUGCCGGCGACAAGCCGGAGGAAGGUGGGGAUGACGUCAAGUCAGCAUGGCCUUGAUAUCCAGGGCUACACACACGCUACAAUGGCCGGUACAAAGGGCAGCCAAGCCGCGAGGUGGAGCGAAUCCCAGCAAAGCCGGUCCCAGUUCGGAUUGCAGGCUGCAACCCGCCUGCAUGAAGUUGGAGUUG
rnacentral:rRNA from 1 species